UGGGCCUACACAUGCAAGUCGAACGGGUAACAGGAAGCAGCUUGCUGCUUCGCUGACGAGUGGCGGACGGGUGAGUAAUGUCUGGGAAACUGCCUGAUGGAGGGGGAUAACUACUGGAAACGGUAGCUAAUACCGCAUAACGUCGCAAGACCAAAGAGGGGGACCUUCGGGCCUCUUGCCAUCGGAUGUGCCCAGAUGGGAUUAGCUAGUAGGUGGGGUAACGGCUCACCUAGGCGACGAUCCCUAGCUGGUCUGAGAGGAUGACCAGCCACACUGGAACUGAGACACGGUCCAGACUCCUACGGGAGGCAGCAGUGGGGAAUAUUGCACAAUGGGCGCAAGCCUGAUGCAGCCAUGCCGCGUGUAUGAAGAAGGCCUUCGGGUUGUAAAGUACUUUCAGCGGGGAGGAAGGCGAUAAGGUUAAUAACCUUGUCGAUUGACGUUACCCGCAGAAGAAGCACCGGCUAACUCCGUGCCAGCAGCCGCGGUAAUACGGAGGGUGCAAGCGUUAAUCGGAAUUACUGGGCGUAAAGCGCACGCAGGCGGUCUGUCAAGUCGGAUGUGAAAUCCCCGGGCUCAACCUGGGAACUGCAUUCGAAACUGGCAGGCUAGAGUCUUGUAGAGGGGGGUAGAAUUCCAGGUGUAGCGGUGAAAUGCGUAGAGAUCUGGAGGAAUACCCG
rnacentral:rRNA from 1 species